GAGGGUGCAAGCGUUGUUCGGAAUUAUUGGGCGUAAAGCGCGUGUAGGCGGCUUGGCAAGUCGGGUGUGAAAGCCCUCAGCUUAACUGAGGAAGUGCGCCCGAAACUGCCGAGCUUGAGUACCGGAGAGGGUAGCGGAAUUCCCCAAGUAGAGGUGAAAUUCGUAGAUAUGGGGAGGAACACCGGUGGCGAAGGCGGCUACCUGGACGGAUACUGACGCUGAGACGCGAAAGCGUGGGGAGCAAACAGGAUUAGAUACCCUGGUAGUCCACGCCGUAAACGAUGAGAACUAGGUGUCGCGGGUGUUGACCCCUGCGGUGCCGUAGCUAACGCAUUAAGUUCUCCGCCUGGGAAGUACGGCCGCAAGGCUA
rnacentral:rRNA from 1 species